UACGUAGGCAGCGAGUGUUGUUCGGAGUUACUGGGCGUAAAGCGUGCGUAGGCGGUGUCUUAAGUUUGUUGUGAAAUCUCCCGGCUUAACCGGGAGGGUGCGGCGAAUACUGAGAUGCUGGAGUGCCGGAGAGGUAAGCGGAAUUCCUGGUGUAGCGGUGAAAUGCGUAGAUAUCAGGAGGAACACCUGCGGUGUAGACGGCUUACUGGACGGUAACUGACGCUGAGGCACGAAAGCGUGGGUAGCAAACAGG
rnacentral:rRNA from 1 species